rnacentral:rRNA from 1 species
CCUACGGGAGGCUGCAGUAGGGAAUUUUCGGCAAUGGGGGGAACCCUGACCGAGCAACGCCGCGUGAACGAAGAAGUUAUUCGUAAUGUAAAGUUCUUUUAACAGGGAAGAAAGAGAAAUUUGACGGUACCUGAUGAAUAAGCUCCGGCUAACUACGUGCCAGCAGCCGCGGUAAUACGUAGGGAGCGAGGGUUAUCCGGAAUUAUUGGGCGUAAAGGGUGCGUAGAUGGAAUAGUAAGUCUUUGGUAAAAAUGCUGGGCUCAACCCAGUAGGGCAAAAGAUACUGCAAAGCUAGAGUAUGAGAGAGGCAAGUGGAACUACAGGUGUAGCGGUGAAAUGCGUAGAUAUAUGGAAGAACACCAGUGGCGAAGGCGGCUUGCUGGGUCGAUACUGACAUUGAGGCACGAAAGCGUGGGUAGCAAACAGGAUUAGAUACCCCGGUAGUC